GCCACGGCUAACUACGUGCCAGCAGCCGCGGUAAUACGUAGGUGGCGAGCGUUAUCCGGAUUUACUGGGUGUAAAGGGCGUGUAGGCGGUCUUUUAAGUCGGAAGUGAAAAUUCAUGGCUCAACUGUGAACUUGCUUACGAAACUGGAGGACUUGAGUACCAGAGGGGAAGGCGGAAUUCCUGGUGUAGCGGUAAAAUGCGUAGAGAUCAGGAAGAAUACCAGUGGCGAAGGCGACUGUCUGGACAUUAACUGACGCUGAGGUACGAAAGCGUGGGGAGCAAACAGGAUCAGAUACCCUGGUAGUCCACGCUGUAAACGAUGAGUGCAAGGUGUUGGGGUCAAACCUCGGUGCCGCCGUUAACACAGUAAGCACUCCGCCUGGGGAGUACGUACGCA
rnacentral:rRNA from 1 species